GAUAAACGCUGGCGGCGUGCCUAACACAUGCAAGUCGAACGUCCUGCUCCUUCGGGAGCAGGGAGUGGCGGACGGGUGAGGAACACGUGGGUGACCUACCCCCCGGUGAGGAAUACCGCCGAGAAAUCGGCGACAAGACCGCAUAGGCUCGCGCGGUUUGGAGACCGAGCGAGCAAAGCUUCUCUUCGUGAGAAGAGAGGCGCCAGGGGAUGGGCCUGCGUCCGAUUAGCUGGUUGGUGGGGUAAUGGCUCACCAAGGCUGCGAUCGGUAGCUGGUCUGAGAGGAUGAGCAGCCACACUGGGAUUGAGAACGGCCCAGACUCCUACGGGAGGCAGCAGUGAGGAAUUUUCCACAAUGGUCGAAAGACUGAUGGAGCAACGCCGCGUGCAGGAGGACGCUUUUCGGAGUGUAAACUGCUUUUCCCAGGGAAGAACACGGACGGUACCUGGGGAAUAAGCCCCGGCUAACUACGUGCCAGCAGCCGCGGUAAUACGUAGGGGACAAGCGUUGUCCGGAGUUACUGGGCGUAAAGCGCCCGCAGGCGGUCCGCUAGGUUUGCGCUGACAGCUCCUGGCUUAACUGGGAGAGCGGUGCGAAAACGGGCGGACUUGAGGACCAGAGAGGGACAUGGAACUCCGGGUGUAGUGGUGAAAUGCGUAGAUAUCCGGAAGAACACCAAAAGCGAAGCAGUGUCCUGGCUGGUACCUGACGCUGAGGGGCGAAAGCUAGGGGAGCGAACGGGAUUAGAUACCCCGGUAGUCCUAGCCGUAAACGAUGACCACUAGGUGUGCGGGGUAUCGACCCCCCGCGUGCCGCAGCUAACGCACUAAGUGGUCCGCCUGGGGAGUACGGUCGCAAGAUUAAAACUCAAAGGAAUUGACGGGGACCCGCACAAGCAGCGGAGCGUGUGGUUUAAUUCGACGCGACGCGAAGAACCUUACCAGGGUUUGACAUGCACGUGACUCCUCCAGAGAUGGGGGUCCCUUCGGGGCACGUGCACAGGUGCUGCAUGGCUGUCGUCAGCUCGUGCCGUGAGGUGUUGGGUUAAGUCCCGCAACGAGCGCAACCCCUGUCGUCGGUUGCACAUGUCCGACGAGACUGCCACGAUCAACGUGGAGGAAGGCGGGGAUGACGUCAAGUCAGCACGGCCCUUACGUCCUGGGCUACACACACGCUACAAUGGCCGCGACAACGGGGAGCCAACCCGCGAGGGGGAGCCAAUCCCAGCAAAGGCGGUCUCAGUUCGGAUGGCAGGCUGCAACCCGCCUGCCUGAAGUCGGAGUUGCUAGUAACCGUGAGUCAGCACAUCACGGUGAAUACGUUCUCGGGUCUUGUACACACCGCCCGUCACACCACGAAAGUCGGCAACACCUGAAGCCGCUGGGCUAACUCGUGGCAACACGAGAGGCAGGCGUCGAGGGUGGGGUCGGUGAUUGGGGUG
rnacentral:rRNA from 1 species